UGGGAAUGUACUUCUGGGUAUGUUUAUCUUACUGAUUGUUGAAUAAAGUACUGUUUGGCCAAUGAGGCAGAAAGCUAGACAGGACUAGGAGCCAAAGAGGAUUCUGGGAAAUGUAGUAAAGACAUGAUGAUGCAGGCAGGAAAUGACAUAACAGGAAGACUCUAACAUAAACAGACGAAGAAAGAAGUGGAGCCGCUCUUCCUCCAGAUUCACCAUGUGAUCCACUGGCAAGAGAGGACGCCAAUGGAAGGUGUCUGAUAAGAUAAGUCUUAUAAAAUAUAUAGAUUUAUGAUAAUUAAGACUGAACUAACAGAUGAGAAUCCUAGUCAUUGGCCAAGCAGCAUUUGUACCUAAUAUAAGUCUCUGUGCAUUAAUUGGGGACCCUAACUCGGCGGGCCAAAUUCAGGCAGCUGGCAGAGACCACCUACAUGGUAUUAGGGCUCAGGACGGCUUUUGGGGGAAAGAUUGAUAGUAACAGAAUGUUAUCAGAAGUGGGAUAACCCCAUGCCCCAAGGUUCCCAGAGGAAGAGGAAAACAUGCUGCCACAGCCUGCCCUGUCGGGCCACUGAGAGGUAUUGGAACAGCUUCCAUAUAUAUGCACACGCCAUCCCAGCACUCUUGGGGGUUGGACUCAGCACUCCUGAGAUGAUAAAGACAGAUCCAUAUAAAGAAAAACUGCUAAAGGUUUACACUGCUUUUAAAAAUAUAUGUAGGCUUGUGAGAGAAAAAGUAAUAGGAGCAAAUAGAGUAACUGGGUGUGGUGGCACACACCUUUAAUCCCAGCACUCCAAAAAGAGAGGCAGGCAGAUUUCCACAGAGAAACCCUGUCUCAGGAAAAAAUAAAAAAAAGGGAAGUAAAAAUAGAAUAAUAGAAAAGCCACCUAAAAAUGAAAAAUACACAGAGAGUUUGGAUACUAUAUUCUAUAUCGUCUUUAAAUUGUUUGAUUGCCGAAGAAAGAGUCACUGCUGCUAAAAUACAUUUGAUUAUAAGUGCUGCAAAAUUAAUCCAACUUAUACAUUUUAAAAAUGCUUUGACAUCAAAGGUUAAGUCUAAGGACAGGGUACUUGGGAAAAAAGUUUUUGCUUGUGUUUUCACAGAAAAUGAAAAGCUAUGGAUUCCUUCCAGACUAAUAUGGUUUGAUCAAGCAAGACCCACUGAAGCAGUGACCCAACUGAUCCUACAUCCAAAACAGCUGAGAUGAUACAGGCUUGCAGACUACAAAAACAAGGACUUGGUCAGAUUUCUAUGUUUUAUCAUGAUCUCCAUGGUACGGACAUUGCCCCCAAUCAGAGUGAAUGACACUCAAAUUCCCAAAUAUUGUUUAUAAAUGUUUGCUUUCAUUUAAAUGGGGUUGGUUAUAAAUGAUAAUGAGCAUAGUCAAUCUCUUUUUAAAGGAAAAAAAAGGAAAUAGGAUAUAGGAAUGAAUACUUUGCAUUGUUAUGGAUUUUCAUUUAUUGAUACAACUUUAAGGUCAAUUUUGUGAUAUGUAUAUGCCUCCUCUUGUUUAGGUAUUGUGUUUAUACAGAUCUUUUAAAAUGAUAUACAUAAUUAAAUACAGGUUAUAUAGUUACCUAUAAUAGUCAGACCUUAUAAUUAGGUUAGUUAAGUUUUCCAGAUAUACAGAGAUGUAUUUGAGAUGGAUAGGUUUUCUUCAUAUCUUUCAAAGACCUACAGAAUAUAUGGCAUUUAAAUGGUUUAGGGUUUUUCUUGGCAGUGAGACACAACUGCUCCUGGCACACCAAUUAUGUAAGAAAGGAGAAUGGGCAUCAAAGAAACUUGUUAUGGAGUUUGCUUUCAACAUGGCAAGAUUAGCCAUUUGGGCAAAAAACUGCUCUUGCCUGGACUGUUUGUUGCUGUAUAAACUGGACAUGCAGGACCCACAAGAAAGUGACUGCUGAACUUACAAAAUAAGACAGUACUGAAGGGUUCCUGCUGAAAUGGAGAAGUGUGCCAGACACACUAUGGCCUAUGGGCUGAAGAUGGAUGCCCCAACAUUACAGAGGAACUUUGGGUGACUGUCCAGGUAGUGAGAUGUCUCUGUCAAUUCUAGAGUUUAUAUAUUAUCCUUCUGUGGUCUUUGAUAGAAUUGAAGACAGAUAGUUAUGGUUAUAGUUUUCUUCAGUUAUUAUAAAAGAUAAGUUAUCCUUCUUUUUAUUUAGACAGAAAAGAGGAGAUGAUGGGGAAUGUUCUUCUGUGUAUGUUCAUCUUAUUGAUUGUUGGAUAAAGUACUGUUUGGCCAGUAAGGCAGCAAGUUAGAUGGGACUAGGUAUCAAAGAGGAUUAUGGGAAAUGUGGUAAAGAAAUGAUGAUCCAGGCAGGAAAAAAACGUAACAGGGAGACUCAUACCUAAACAGAGGAAGAAGUAAGUGGUCUUGCUCUUCCUCCAGAUUCGCCAUGUUAUCCACCAGCAAGGGAGGACAGCAAUGGAAGGCGUCUGAUAAGAUAAGUCUUAUAAAAUAUAUAGAUUUAUGAUAAUUAAGACUGAACUAACAGAUGAGAAUCCUAGUCAUUGGCCAAGCAGCAUUUGUACCUAAUAUAAGUCUCUGUACAUUAAUUGGGGCCCUAACUCGACAGGCAGAACUCAAGUGGCUGGCAGAGACCGCCCAUGUGGUAGUAGGGCUCGGGCGGCUUUUGGCAGAAAGAUAUAUCCUAUCAGGACAUCUCUGUGGUUGUCUAAUAAACUUUUUUAUCCAUUUAGUAUGUAUGGCGCUUUCUUUGAGAAAUAUCCCCACAGGCUCAGAGAGUGGAACAUUCUGUGGGAUUUGGUUAUGCCUUUGAGGUGGUUAUGGGAAGUGCAGCUUUGUAGGAGGAAGUGAGUCACUGGUUAUGGGAAGUAGAGCUCUGCUGGAGGAAGUGAGUCACUGGUUAUGGGAAGUAGAGCUCUGCUGGAGGAAGUGAGUCACUGGUUAUGGGAAGUAGAGCUCUGCUGGGGGAAGUGAGUCAUUAGUUAUGGGAAGUGCAGUGUUUGAGAGUUUAUAACUUCCCUUCCUUCCAGUUCACCUUCUGAUUUGUGCUUUUGAUUGAAGAUGUGACCUCUCAGCUUCCUAUCACCACACCUGACACUCACUGCCAUGCCUCACAAGCACGAUGAACCUUUAUCCCUCUGGAAUCAUAAGCUACAAUACUUCGUCCUAAAGUUUUCCUUGGUCAUGGUGUUUUAUCACAGUCCUAUAAAAAUUAGUGGGACUUUCAUUUCAAACUAGUUUUUAAUUCGUGCAUAGACUUUGUCUCUCCUGUGGUUUCUGGUGCAGCAGGUGAAAGCACAUGCUACUUUAUCAGAGGAGGUCAGUUUGCAUGCCAGCAUCUAAUUUGGCAAGACUCAAAUGCCUGCAACCCUAGCUCCAAAGAAGCUGAUGUCCACUUGUAAAUGCCUUGAUCACCCGCAUACAUGUGGACAUACAUCUAUAAACAAAUAUAUAACAAAAUCAAUUUGAAAAAAAAUCUAUGGUUUCUGUUUGUUACAAAAAAUCUUUCCGACAAAAGCCGCUGAGCCCCACCGCCAUGUGUGGGCUUUACGCCAGCCGCCUGCCUGAGUUAGGGCCCAAAUUAAUACACAGAAACUUGUAUUAGGUACAAUGCUGCUUGGCCAAUGACUAGGAUUCUCAUCUGUUAGCUCAGUCUUAAUUAUCAUAACCUAUAUAUUUUAUAAGACUUACCUUAUCAGACGCCUUAUUGGCGUCCCUCCUUGCCGGUGGAUCACAUUGCUCCGCUGGAGGAAGAGCAGAGGGGAAAGGGGACACUUCCUGUUUCCUUUGCUUAAAUAUGAGUCUCCUUGCUAUGUCACUUCCUGCCUGUAUCACCACCUCUCUACUACAUUUCCCAGAAUCCUCUUUGACUCCUAGUCCUAUCUAACUUGCUGUCUCAUUGGCCAAAGAGAACUUUAUUAAACAAUCAAUAAGAUAAACACACAGAAGUACUUUCACCAUCAUUUUUUCAUAUGCCACAUGAUUUGUUUGCUUGGUUUUUGUUCUUUUAAAAAAAAAUACAGAUUUACUCUGUGUUGCUCCAGCUGUCCUGAAACUCACUUUGUCGAACAGGUUGGCCUCAAACUCACAGAGAACUGCCUGACUCUGCCUCCCUAGUGCUGGGAUUAAAAGUGUAUGCUACCACUGCCACAGUCCAUUACAUAAUUCUUAAUGAUUAACUUGUUUUAGUCACUAGAUUAACUCUUUGAAUAGUUAAGUUCCUAUCAUUAAAAGUGUUUGAGUUUUCUGCUACCCUGGGCAUUGCAUGUUAUAUGGAUUUUAUUCAGCUUGUGGUUGUGUCUUCAUCUGGUCUUACCCUGGCAUGACAGCCUGUAAUGACAUCAGCUCUGUGACGUUGCUUCAGUAUUACAGUCAGUAAAAGUUGCUACAUUUCAGCAAAUUAUUUCCUUAUCAUGGUGGUAAACAGAAAUCUCACACUUUAAGAACUAUUAAAUACCUCACUUUUUUUUUCUGAAUACAUCAACCCCCAACUAUACCUUUAUUUUAUGUAUUCCUACAGAAUACCUUCAUUUACUUCCUGGAGAAAAUCUAUCCUUGCAAGUUUUCUUACCAACUAUAUAUAACAAACUUAGCUUGCUUUUAAAUUAUAUCUUUUAUUUUGAGGUUGUAUAAUUACAUCAUCUCCUCUUUCCAUUCUCUUUUUCUGAAUUCUCUUAUAUGUACCUCCUUGUCCUCUUUCAAACUCAUGGCUUGUUUUUUUUUAUUGUUGAACAACACAUAUGUGGAGUAUAUACAUAUAUAUGCAACAAUUAAUAAAACAUAUACAUUCAUAUAUAUAUAUUGAACCUCUCAAGCUAGUAGUUUUUAAUACCCAUUUACAAUGAAAAUCUUUGAUUAUUUUAUCUCAACUCAUGAAUCAAGAUACUAAAUGAUUAGAAAGACACACAACACAUCCACUCACUGGCACCCCACACAUCCACUCAGCACCCCACACUUCUAUUCAUCAGCACCCCACAUAUCCAAUGACCAGCACCCUCCAAACUCUCUUAAAUCUCCUUUUGGUUUAUGAGCCCACAAAGGUGUUUUUUCUGUUUCUUCCUCUUCUUAAGGUUUCAUAUACAUUGAAACUAAUGUUUGCUAUUUGUAACUUGGUAACUAUAUAUUUUUAAUAUCAGAAUAUAUAUGCUAUUUUUUGCUAUAAUUUUUCAUUUCAAAGGUUUGUCCUAAAUAUUACUAUGGUUUUACUUCAAGUUAUACCAGAUUCUUCAUUGGAAUGCCCAAAAUUAACAUAUUAAGUUUACUGAAUUUUCUUGCUGAUGGCACCACUCUCCACAAAUGAUGAACAGUUUAACUAGGCAAAGCUUGCAUCUGUUACUGUUUUCAUACCAGCAGUGGAUAAAUGUAUGGAUACUCACUGAAGAAAAAGGGGAAAACUAAAUAUUCACCAAACCAGGGUUUAACACACUCUUUGGAACAGGCAGUUUGGCUUUAUGAUUUCUUCUAGAUAAAAUUGGAAACCACAUGAGGCUCCCAUACUUCACCUAGCAAAGGUGUCAAAAAGCACACAGGUUUCUCCUGAAUCUCCUCUCGACACUGUCACUGAUACCACUGAAUCAUCCCAUGGGUAGUGUACCAAGCUACAGGCACACAUAGUGUAACACAGCAGUGAAUGUGGGGCUUUGACCUGGAUAGAUGUGGCUUCAAGUCUAGAGAACAAGUUUUCUUAUUUUAGGUCAAGUUCUUAACUCUUAAGUUAGAGUUUUUCCUUCUAAUGAGCUAAGGGAAUGCCACAUGCGUUUUGUUAAGUGCAUAGGCAUUUGGGUUAGGUGGCAUUAGGUGGCACUGCACAUUGAUAUUGAACAUUCUGAAUAGGUUGCCUAUGAUUUGUGAAGUGACACCAUGUAGUCAGUGAACUGUAGGCUGAAGGUUCAGCUGAUCUUCAGGGGCAGUGAUGCAGAACACUGGGGAUGUAUUCCUUGUUUUUCUAGGGGCCCAGCUAUAUGCUGAAUCUGAGCCUCAAACUGGAGAUCAAGAUGCAAAUCUUGAUUUCAAAAGAAGUUUCAAUAACACCAUCUUUGCUGUAGAUAUGUGGCCCCAGAAAUUCUUAUGAGUCUCUAAAGAAUAAAGAAAACAUGAAUAAUAGAUGGAGAGGGCAAAGGGUGACUCCAGGACCAUCUGGACUGUCUAUUCUCUAGAGACUAAUGACUAUCUUCAUAUGUUAGUUCCUUAACUUUUUUAAUGGUGACUAUAGUGCUUUGAAUUAACAGAAAGACAUUGCAGUGGCUAUUAAGUCUACAACUUUACCAUUGAAAGAUCAUCCUGUGUAAUUCAGUGGAGAGACAGCAAGAAAUCAGGAUCUCAGUACUCUAUCAGCAAGGACUGUGUUCUGAUGACAGCAUACACGAUCAAGUAACUGUCCUCACAAGGCUAUGGAACAAACAACUUCCUGCCACCAUUCUGGUUUGACCUCAUAGGCCUCUCUGCAGAUAAUGCAACCAAGUGAACAUGUACUGAGAUGUUUGUUACCUAGAGUGCCAUGAUCCAAUAAUAUUCUGCUUGUUUAAGCUGCCAGGUCUGUGGCAUAUACUUGUUAUUUCUAUGUUAUAUGUAUGGCAGACAAUAAGCCUACACCACUUACAUAGUCUGUCUGCCAUGGGAAGGAUGAAUGUUAUAAUGGGGAAAGUCACAUAUGGUCUUGUGUGAGUUUAUAUCUCUUUAAGCACUCUGUUGUAUCCACAUGUAACUAAUCAUCUCAUUUGAUGUAUGUCAUUGCAAACUGAAGUGAGAACUAAAAUGCAAAACCCACUGAGGAUUAGAACCACACUGAAGCUAAUUGCAGAAUCAUAGUUUUACUAAAACUUUGCAAGAGUGUUUGACUUUGAAUAUGAGGGUAAUAUCUUAUAAUGUUAACAGGAAAGAAAACCAUGAAAUAUUGCAGGCAAAAUCUUCUCUUGAUAUAGGUGGUUGUUCUCUACAAGACAAUGAAAAUAUCAUGGAAAAAUGAAAAAGGAAGCUAAAGGUUUUUUUUACAUUAAAAUAUUUCAGAACGUUCAUUAUUUCAUUGGCAAUAUAAAUUUUAAAGGCAAAAUAGUUCCUCAAAAGUAAGGUAAAUGCUGCUAAGUUAUGAUUUCCAAAAGACUUUUAAAUGCUUAAAAUAUAAAACCAAGGAAUUCUUUGAAAUGUGUAUAUAGAGACCCAUGUGAAAGAAAAAAAUUCCUAAAGUGAAGAUCACUUUGAUGCUAUGCAAGGAAAAUCCAGACAGAAACCUAUUCCAAUGGUUAUGACUAUCAGAGACAAUUAUUGUCUCGGAGUUCCCAGUUUCAUGGACAUUUUUAAAUAAAAUAUUUAUUGUAAAGAUUUAGUUAUGUUAUUGGAAAUCAC
rnacentral:lncRNA from 1 species